CAACCGGGAGGAGAGGGCUCGCCGGGCUCCUCAGCCCACCUGCAUCCCCCCCAUCCCACGGUGGAAAACGUCUGGCAGAGAAAAAGCUGCGGCGUGUCUCUCCGGAGGGAGAACCUCUCUCAACACCCCGAUGCUAACGAGUCCCGCGCUGGCUCGGAUCUCAUCCAGCCCCGGCAGCGCCCGCGGGGUAAGGAACACUUUAGCACCCGUGGAAAUGCUGGGAUCCCCUCUUUAGCCUUUCUGGUGUCCUCCAGCAUUAGCGACGGCUUGUGUUCCCAGCCGAAACCGCCCGCUACGGUGGAUUUCCUCCCAAAUCCGCCUUUUCAGAUUCCUAAAGCAUUCCUGAAGUUUCAGCCUUUCAGCCAGAAACAGCCGUGACUGCCCUCGGCCCAGCAGCUGGGCUUGGUGAAGCAAAACCCCUUUCCGAGUGAGGUAUCCGUGGAAAAAGUGCUUUCCCCUUUCUAAAUAAAGCCAGGUCCAGCUGGGGAUGGCAGGAGCCCAAGGUAGGAUGUUACGAUUUAUUUUGGAAACAGAUGCCAGAGGAGGUGAAGCUUUUAAGCGUCUGGCCGAGCAGAUGCGGGGAAGUGGCAAGCCCGGUCAGUGGAGCCUUCCAGCUCUUUAUUUGCAGGAAUUUCUGGCUUUGCUCAUAUAUAUACAAUGCGUACCUUAGAUUUUAAAUUUUUUUUUUUUUUUUUCUCUCCUGACAGCUGGAAGUCUUUUCUUUGCUGAUUAUUCAUUUCCACCUCCAGGAGCUGCUCACGCACGGGCUGAGUGCUGGUGCUGGGGUGAGACGUCUGCCCCAGGAGCGCGGCUUUCGGCAAACACACCUGGUCUGGCAGCUGGGGACUCCCACGUCGAUGGCUUCGGUCCAACGGGCCGGUGUCCCUUGGGAUGGCACGGGACGGAUGAGGGAAGCCUGGCUGGGUGCUCCGGUUCAGGGCCAGGGGCGGGGGGGUUCAACAAGAGCCCCCCCUCCCCCCAAGCAUCCCCUCCCACCAGCACAGGACAAGUUUACGAGCCUGGUGGAACCAAAAGUCCUUUUCCAACCCCAAAAGCCCUGCUUUUUUUCCAAAGAAAAUAGAUUGCGACGGAGAAAUGCUUUUCGCAGAAAAGUUGCUGCUUCCUGUGAAAAACUUUAUAUCCCCAUAAAAAUACCCAAAGUCAACAUUUUGCUUUGCCUCCAAAUGUUUCUGGUUCUCCCAGGGCUGUUACGUUACUGGUUCCAGAAUGAGAAAGCCACAUUUUCUGGGACAGGUUUCAAGUUUUUUUGUUGUUUUUUUUUUUUGUUGUUGUUUGGGGUUUUUUUGUUUGUUUGUUUUGUUUUGUUUUUGUCUUGUUCCCGGGGAGGCACAGCAGUCCCUGGGCGGGGGUGAUGCCAACCCUUCUAUUUUCACUGCAGAGAAACACGCUGGUCUGCCAUCCCA